GACGAGGGGUCCUAGCGUUGUUCGGAAUCAUUGGGCGUAAAGCGGGUGUAGGCGGCCAAUCAAGUUAGAUGUGAAAGCCCAGGGCUCAACUCUGGAAGUGCAUCUAAAACUAAUUGGCUUGAGUAUGGGAGAGGAUAGUGGAAUUCCUGGUGUAGUGGUGAAAUACGUAGAUAUCAGGAGGAAUACCGGUGGCGAAGGCGGCUAUCUGGCCCAAUACUGACGCUGAGACCCGAAAGCGUGGGGAGCAAAC
rnacentral:rRNA from 1 species